GGAAACUGGAUGUUCUCCUAAAACAGCCACCUAGCCAAGCUGAACCAACAGAGAUGUAUUGAUCACCGGGUCAAUGGAACUAGGUGGGUGCUGGGGGGAAAGUCAGCAGGUAAGUCAGGUGAGGACUGCCUCCCUUCCACUCCCCACCCAGAGACUGAAGACAGACAGACAGACAGAGGCGUUCAUUCAGAAAGAAGUAGGAGGGCUUCAGGGAUUCAGCGGAGGAGACUGAAAGCCUGAGAGACGAUGCCUCUGAGAAGGUUACAGACCUUGGGAGAAAGCGCUUUCACCUCCUCACCACAGACACUCUCGACUGUGGACUCAGGACACUAAGCCAGAAAGGUGACGAUUUCCUUCUUGAACCCGGCCUGCAUCAGCAGCUCAGACCCAGGGCUCCGGGUCCUUUGCUCUAUGUCCAGUGCUCUUUUUGCUCCCUCACACACUUAGCGAUGGCAGUGUUCUUAGUAUACUCAAAGAGCUUUGUAAUGAAUUAGAGCAGCCAUUCCCAACCUUCCUAGUGCUGCGGUCCUUUAAUACAGUUUCUUAAGUUGUGGCGAACCAUCCCCCCCACCCCCAACCAUAACAUUAUUCUUGCUGCUGCUGUUAUGAAUCGUAAUGAAACAUUUGAUCUGCAGUACAUCUGAUAUGUGAUUCCCGAGAAAGGGCCAUCAUAUUCCAAGGGAUCGGGACCCACAGCGUGAGAAGCCCUGAACUAGAGAUCCGCCUAAACUGAGAAACAACCUAGCACCUAUCCCAGCCCAUCAAUGUUGUAUAUGGCAACAGAUUCAAAAGCCCAGACUAAAACAUACUCACCAUCCAUGUUACCAGCUCUCACCAUGGGGCAGCAAUGUGGAUUUAGUAAGCAUAGCCCACGGGCACUCAUUUUGAAGACACUAGGAGAACUUCAAAGCCAGGUUUGUUCUUCUGCCUCUGGUGACAUUUUUAAAAUUUCAGCACUGUUUUUUUUUUUAAUUGAUUCUUUGUGAAUUUCAUAUCAUGCACCUCAGUCCUGCACAUCUCCUGUCCCCUCCCUCCCUCCAACCUCCACCCUUCCCCAACAAAGAAAAAUAAGUCCCCACUAUGGAAGCUGUAGUGUGCCAUCGUGUGUCCUUUUGUCCACACUUCUUUGCUUGCAAGUGCUCAUUGCAUUGACUUUGUUGGUCUGGUACGAGUCAGGCCUCUGGCUUCUGCUAUGCUAACGAUGCUAGAACCUUACUGAGACUCCUCUAGGGUAGACUGUUGUCACCCCGUGUGUCAUGGAGACCCUGUAGUUUUGGAUCUGCAGGACUGGCUUCUUCACGUACUCCAGCAGUUCAUUGAUGGGAUAGACGUGGGGUGGGCUAACUCAAAGCCCUGGAUCUGGGCCUGAGAGGUGUCUGAGCUGCUCAGCCCACCAGCUCUCCAGUUCUUGUGGCCUUUGGAUUGGCUCGCCAGCAACCCCCUCUCCCAGGGCUAGCUCUCCUGGCUGACCAGGUCGGUCCUUAUAUUUGCUUUAGGAACCUGACAAGACUGACUAGCCAUCUCUAGCAUUCAGAUAGGUGGAACUUCAUUGUGCUGAAGUUAUGUUUGAGCACCCUCUGCUGGACAAAUCAGGAGAAGGCAGCAGCUGGCAUCAAUGGUGUGGUGAGGAGAGAAUCAAGUUUCCUUCUCCAGUUCAAACAGACGAAAGUGAAGCGACAUAGGCUCAAGGACAGGGUCACUGGGCUAGCGCCACACCAUGGAGCCAAACCCCGAGCCUUCUAAAUUGUGAGCUGGGCAUGGUGGUUCACCCCAGGAAUCGCAGCACUGAGGGAUGAAGGCGAGAGAGUCACUGUGGGUGUGACAUCAGUCUGGCCUGAAGUCUGAGACUGUUUUUUUAAAAAGAAAACAUUUUUUUAUGUCAUAUAUUUAAUUAUAUAAAGAUUCUGUUGUUUUGUUGUUGUUGUUGUUAAAAUUCAGCCAGGAAAUUUCCAUCUGUCUGGUGUUAAUUGGUUGUUUUUCAGCACUAAUUGGGAAAUGAUAUAUUUUUAUUGUUUUAUAAAUAGAGUAAAACCCCUCAGAAACUGCUGGGGAAAUUUAAACAAGGAAAGCAAUUCUAUGUCCUUGCUUGACACCAGUUUGUCCCAGAGGUGACACAACUGUGUAGUUUUUGAAAACACUGGGCAUUUAUAUAUAUAUGAGACAAAACCCCACUGUAUAGCCCUGGCUAACUCGAAACUCACUAUGUAAAUCAGGCUGGGCUUUGACACACAGAGCUCUGCCUUUGCCUACUCAGUGUUGGGAUUUAACACCCACACCACCAUAGCCAGCCUUCUCUCCAAGGGGCAAAUUUCUUUCUGAAGCAACUUCCUCAUUUAUUAACAGUAUUGCUUCCAGACCCCGUGUGUGUGUGUGUGUGUGUGUGUGUGUGUGUGUGUGUGUGUACAGAUAUGUGUUUGCAAGUAUUUAGACACAAGUUGAUGCAGACUACACCAGUUUCAUGAAAUUGUUCCCAUGUCAGUGGCUAGUCUGAGCCUUUUGUACUUGUAAACAGCUGGCUGUAAACUGGGGAUUCCCAUACUCUCCUCUUCAGCCCCAUAAUUAUCAUGGUGAUUUGCAACCUGUAGGUAAUGACCCGUUUGGCUCAUAUAUCAGAUAUUCUGCAUGUCAGAUAUUUAUAUUUUGAUUCAUAACAAUAGUAAAAUUAUAGUUAUGAAGUAGUAAUGUAAAUAGUUACACUGUGGGGGUCACCACAACACGAGGAACUGUGUUAAAUGGCUUCAGCAAUAGGAAGGUUGAGAGCCACUGAUUUAUUAGGUCAUUUCAUGGAUCGUGGGGAUGCUUUCUACUUUCAUCUAUUGUUUAUUACAAAAGAUGUAGACAGACAGAUAGAUAGACAGACUCACAGAUAAAUAGAAAAAUAGAUGACAGAAAGAUAGAAAGUUAGGUAAAAAGAUAAAAAGAUAGGUAGAUGCUAGAAAGAUAGAUAGACUCAAAGACAAAUAGAAAGAUAGAUAAUAGAGAAAGGUGGAAAGAAAAAUAGAUAGAUGAUGGAAAGAUAGGUAGAUAGACUGACAGAAUGA
rnacentral:lncRNA from 1 species